AUCACUUCUCAGCCUUUUGGCUAAGAUCAAGUGUAGUAUCUGUUUUUAUCAGUUUAAUAUUUGAUAUGUACUCUAUCCAAGGACAAUAUAUUAAAUGGAUUUUUAGACCUGGGAGUCAGAAGAGGAGCUUGCUCCAUCUACUCCUCACAUUGACUUGGUAUUGCGGUAUCUCCAGGAACGGUGCACCAGAA